rnacentral:rRNA from 2 species
GGGUUGUGAGGUUAAGCGACUAAGCGUACACGGUGGAUGCCCUGGCAGUCAGAGGCGAUGAAGGACGUGCUAAUCUGCGAUAAGCGUCGGUAAGGUGAUAUGAACCAUUAUAACCGGCGAUUUCCGAAUGGGGAAACCCAGUGUGAUUCGUCACACUAUCAUUAACUGAAUCCAUAGGUUAAUGAGGCGAACCGGGGGAACUGAAACAUCUAAGUACCCCGAGGAAAAGAAAUCAACCGAGAUUCCCCCAGUAGCGGCGAGCGAACGGGGAGCAGCCCAGAGCCUGAAUCAGUGUGUGUGUUAGUGGAAGCGUCUGGAAAGGCGUGCGAUACAGGGUGACAGCCCCGUACACAAAAAUGCACAUAUUGUGAGCUCGAUGAGUAGGGCGGGACACGUGGUAUCCUGUCUGAAUAUGGGGGGACCAUCCUCCAAGGCUAAAUACUCCUGACUGACCGAUAGUGAACCAGUACCGUGAGGGAAAGGCGAAAAGAACCCCGGCGAGGGGAGUGAAAAAGAACCUGAAACCGUGUACGUACAAGCAGUGGGAGCACGCUUAGGCGUGUGACUGCGUACCUUUUGUAUAAUGGGUCAGCGACUUAUAUUCUGUAGCAAGGUUAACCGAAUAGGGGAGCCGAAGGGAAACCGAGUCUUAACUGGGCGUUAAGUUGCAGGGUAUAGACCCGAAACCCGGUGAUCUAGCCAUGGGCAGGUUGAAGGUUGGGUAACACUAACUGGAGGACCGAACCGACUAAUGUUGAAAAAUUAGCGGAUGACUUGUGGCUGGGGGUGAAAGGCCAAUCAAACCGGGAGAUAGCUGGUUCUCCCCGAAAGCUAUUUAGGUAGCGCCUCGUGAAUUCAUCUCCGGGGGUAGAGCACUGUUUCGGCAAGGGGGUCAUCCCGACUUACCAACCCGAUGCAAACUGCGAAUACCGGAGAAUGUUAUCACGGGAGACACACGGCGGGUGCUAACGUCCGUCGUGAAGAGGGAAACAACCCAGACCGCCAGCUAAGGUCCCAAAGUCAUGGUUAAGUGGGAAACGAUGUGGGAAGGCCCAGACAGCCAGGAUGUUGGCUUAGAAGCAGCCAUCAUUUAAAGAAAGCGUAAUAGCUCACUGGUCGAGUCGGCCUGCGCGGAAGAUGUAACGGGGCUAAACCAUGCACCGAAGCUGCGGCAGCGACGCUGAUGCGUUGUUGGGUAGGGGAGCGUUCUGUAAGCCUGUGAAGGUGUGCUGUGAGGUAUGCUGGAGGUAUCAGAAGUGCGAAUGCUGACAUAAGUAACGAUAAAGCGGGUGAAAAGCCCGCUCGCCGGAAGACCAAGGGUUCCUGUCCAACGUUAAUCGGGGCAGGGUGAGUCGACCCCUAAGGCGAGGCCGAAAGGCGUAGUCGAUGGGAAACAGGUUAAUAUUCCUGUACUUGGUGUUACUGCGAAGGGGGGACGGAGAAGGCUAUGUUGGCCGGGCGACGGUUGUCCCGGUU